UACGUAGGGGGCAAGCGUUGUCCGGAUUUAUUGGGCGUAAAGAGCGUGUAGGCGGCUUUGCAAGUCCGUUGUGAAAACUCGAGGCUCAACCUCGAGACGCCGGUGGAAACUGCAAAGCUAGAGUCCGGAAGAGGAGAGUGGAAUUCCUGGUGUAGCGGUGAAAUGCGCAGAUAUCAGGAAGAACACCCGUGGCGAAGGCGACUCUUUGGCCUGUAACUGACGCUGAGGCGCGAAAGCGUGGGGAGCAAACAGG
rnacentral:rRNA from 1 species